UGCAGGCGACACAAGUAUCAGAGGCAAGAAUCAUGGAUCGGUCUCCAUAUUAGGGAACCCGAAUUGGCGACAUGAGUCACCCCUCCCCCAUCGGUCAAGAAUCCGAUGGGGGGAGACAUACCCUGGCGAAAGAUACAAACUGACCACAGGGACCUAGACCAAACAUGGAAUCGGGGAAAGCCGGAUACGGGCAAGGAAUGUCAGCUAUGUCAAUUAAUGGAUGGUAUAAAUGAUU